rnacentral:rRNA from 1 species
AUUGAACGCUGGCGGCAUGCCUUACACAUGCAAGUCGAACGGCAGCACGGGAGCUUGCUCCUGGUGGCGAGUGGCGAACGGGUGAGUAAUACAUCGGAACGUACCCUGAAGUGGGGGAUAACGUAGCGAAAGUUACGCUAAUACCGCAUAUUCUGUGAGCAGGAAAGAGGGGGGAUCGCAAGACCUCUUGCUUUAGGAGCGGCCGAUGUCGGAUUAGCUAGUUGGUGAGGUAAAGGCUCACCAAGGCGACGAUCCGUAGCGGGUCUGAGAGGAUGAUCCGCCACACUGGGACUGAGACACGGCCCAGACUCCUACGGGAGGCAGCAGUGGGGAAUUUUGGACAAUGGGCGCAAGCCUGAUCCAGCCAUGCCGCGUGAGUGAAGAAGGCCUUCGGGUUGUAAAGCUCUUUCGGUGGGGAAGAAAUUGCUUCGGUUAAUACCUGGAGUAGAUGACGGUACCCGCAUAAGAAGCACCGGCUAACUACGUG